AUUGAACGCUGGCGGCAGGCCUAACACAUGCAAGUCGAGCGGUAGAGAGAAGCUUGCUUCUCUUGAGAGCGGCGGACGGGUGAGUAAUGCCUAGGAAUCUGCCUGGUAGUGGGGGAUAACGUUCGGAAACGGACGCUAAUACCGCAUACGUCCUACGGGAGAAAGCAGGGGACCUUCGGGCCUUGCGCUAUCAGAUGAGCCUAGGUCGGAUUAGCUAGUUGGUGGGGUAAUGGCUCACCAAGGCGACGAUCCGUAACUGGUCUGAGAGGAUGAUCAGUCACACUGGAACUGAGACACGGUCCAGACUCCUACGGGAGGCAGCAGUGGGGAAUAUUGGACAAUGGGCGAAAGCCUGAUCCAGCCAUGCCGCGUGUGUGAAGAAGGUCUUCGGAUUGUAAAGCACUUUAAGUUGGGAGGAAGGGCAGUAAAUUAAUACGUUGCUGUUUUGACGUUACCGACAGAAUAAGCACCGGCUAACUCGGUG
rnacentral:rRNA from 1 species